UUGAAAAAAGUGUGUGUGUCGUUGCUAGGGGUUUGUUUAUUUUGAGGAAAAACGUCCGGGGAAUCACGCCGUUCUAUCGCGGAAAAACUCCAGAGAAUAGUUGCUGGAAAAAGGCUUUCCGGUCACAAAUGGCCCCUCCUAAAGUGGCCAAGUGCGUCGCGAAGGUCCACUGCCAGGUGUGUCCCGAGAGAAAUUGAGCUGCGCCUGAGCCCGAACACAACCGCAUCUUCGACCCCGAGAUAACGUUGCCCAAGCUAUGUAACCCGUUUCCGGAGCAAGUCGCCCAGAAUAAGAUCAACAACCGUGUUUGUGUGCUGAAGAAAUAAGAGCAAGACAGCAACCGCUACAACAUCCGGCACACAAUGCUUCCGGUCCCGAGACUCAAACCCUCCUAAAAGGCUUAUUCCUCGUCGUUUCCACCAACACGCGAUUCCAGGGUAGCCAAGGAGCCACUUCGUGUGCAAGUUUUAGUGUUAUGAAAAUAUGAAAUAAACUAAUUCUUUCAAACAA